CCUACGGGAGGCAGCAGUGAGGAAUAUUGGUCAAUGGCCGGAAGGCUGAACCAGCCAUGCCGCGUGAAGGUCAGUGCCCUAUGGGCGUUAAACUUCUUUUGUGCGGGAGCAAUAAUGGUCACGUGUGGCCAGACGAGAGUACCGUACGAAUAAGCAUCGGCUAACUUCGUGCCAGCAGCCGCGGUAAUACGGGGGAUGCAAGCGUUAUCCGGAUUUCUUGGGUUUAAAGGGAGCGUAGACGGCAGUGCAAGUCCGGAGUUAAAGCCCGGGGGUCAACCCUGGGACUGCUCGGGAAACUGGAAAGCUGGAGUGCGGGAGAGGCAGGCGGAAUUCCUAGUGUAGCGGUGAAAUGCGUAGAUAUUAGGAGGAACACCAGUGGCGAAGGCGGCUUACUGGACUGUAACUGACGUUGAGGCUCGAAAGCGUGGGGAGCAAACAGGAUUAGAUACCCCAGUAGUC
rnacentral:rRNA from 1 species